AGCGCACUCUUUUAGAGUGAGCGGCAAACGGGUGAGUAACGCGUGGGAAUCUACCCAUCUCUACGGAAUAACACAGAGAAAUUUGUGCUAAUACCGUAUACGUCCUUAGGGAGAAAGAUUUAUCGGAGAUGGAUGAGCCCGCGUUGGAUUAGCUAGUUGGUGAGGUAACGGCUCACCAAGGCGACGAUCCAUAGCUGGUCUGAGAGGAUGAUCAGCCACACUGGGACUGAGACACGGCCCAG
rnacentral:rRNA from 1 species